GAUGAACGCUGGCGGCAGGCCUAAUACAUGCAAGUCAAGGGGCCCCGCCUUUGGGCGGGGCACCGGCGGACGGGUGAGCAGCGCGUACACAACGUGCCCCUGACCGGGGGACAGCGGCGGGAAACUGCCGGUAACACCCCAUGGCGCCGCGGGGCGGCAUUGCCCGGCGGCGAAAGUUUCGGCGGUCGGGGAUCGGUGUGCGUCCGAUUAGGUAGUUGGCGGGGUGACGGCCCACCAAGCCUGCGAUCGGAGGGGGU
rnacentral:rRNA from 1 species